CGUUACAUCUCGAUCAGCUUUGGGACACAAUUCGAAACACCGCAUUUUGGAGACGUUUGUGUUCCUAAGACUUUAAGAGGGAUUUAUGAGUUGUCCAGGCCAAAAAAUCCAACGCUCCUUACCACCCACAUUCUUUGACUCCUACCACCUUCAAACACUCGGUGGUUUUAAAGGACCCACCUCUCCGCCUCCUCCCCCACUCGCCCACAGAUCUCUGGCAUCUCACUCACUCGGACGUCCAGCCAUACGAAGACAGUGGAGAAGAAACCCACGGAUGGAGGACAAUCUGAACAUCUGAUCGCCGAUUGCCAAAUCUGAUUGGCACGGUUGCUUGAACUUUGAGGAUGAUACCAUCAAACAAUGACAUACUGUAAGCAUCUAUUAGGGAUUUCCAUAAACAUUUAUAUCCAUUAACUACUCUUUUAAGUUGGUACAUGUAUUUUGUGUAUGUGCCUGCAUUGUAAUUCAUUCCUCAUCGCUGUUGGAUUUCAUCUCAUACUGUCUCCAUGUGAACCAUCAUUCCCACCCCGCUUUCCCAGUGUUCAGACUACCUGUUCAGGGCGUAGAGAUUGUACAGUAGUCUGCACAUUGGUUAGGCUGCGUCGGGUUCACACGCAUCGUCUUGAUCUUUUCAUCAAUGAAACAGCCUCAUGGAAAUGUGCAUGCCGUCAUCUGAUAAGUAAUGUGUGGGGGUAGCUGUAGUUUUGGGAUAGAUUCACCCUUCUUUAUUUGGAAAAGAAAAAGAUUUAAGACAGAUAAAAUUAUAUAUAAUUUUUAGGGUGUAGGGUUUGUGUUAGUAAAAACUAU